rnacentral:rRNA from 1 species
GGAGGUAGUGACAAUAAAUCACAAUGCGGGACUGUUAGUCUUGCAAUUGGACUGAGAACAACGUACAACUCUUAUCGAUAAGCCAUUGGAGGGCAAGUCUGGUGCCAGCAGCCGCGGUAAUUCCAGCUCCAAUAGCGUAUAUUAACGUUGUUGCAGUUAAAAAGCUCGUAGUUGAAGUGAGGGAGUGUGUAGUAGGACCGACUUGAUCGGAACUGCUGCAACCUCCCCCCUCCAAUCGGUGUAGUGGGGUAUUCAGUUAUUCUACUACUCCUUUGGUCGUUUACUGUGAGAAAAUUAGAGUGUUCAAAGCGGGCGUUUGUUUGAAUAGAUUAGCAUGGAAUAAUGAUUGAAGGCUUUCGUGUUCGAUUUGAUUGGUUUGUUCAUGGAAGCAAGGUUAAAAGGAACAGUUGGGGGUAUUCAUAUUCACUAGUUAGAGGUGAAAUUCUCGGACUUAUGGAAGAUGAACAAGUGCGAAAGCA